ensembl:lncRNA
CAGCAAGUUACCUAAGGGGAAGUGACACGGCACUGACUGUUCCAUGUCAGAGGCUCCCAGCCUGGUAGAUCAUCAUGAGAAAUUGGACACGUUACCAUGGCCGUUCAAACCCACGAUCACCUCCGGCCACAAAAACACCCACCUGUGAGGAGAGCUGAAGAGUCACAUGGGAGAGAUUUGAAGAGAGAGGCCCUGUUGGCGGUUCUGACGUGGAAAUAUGCAAGAAGACGAGAAGACUGCACACAUGAGAACUUCUCUUAGGGUGAGCCCUGCCUGUGGUUCAGAGGAAGCCUUGGACAAGACGCUUGGGGAAGCCCCCGUGAAUCACACUUGGCCCUGGCAGGUGGCGGGGGGAGAUUCCUCAGGCCUCUGGUCUCUCCGAGUGCUCUGCUUCCCUUUCUUCCUUCCUCCCACUCUGCUCUCAGCCCCUCCCCACCGCACACAUAUUGAACCAAUAUUAAAAAAACAUCCAGUGUCCCCAAUUCUUCAUUUCCCCAGAGGCCCUAUCCUUAGCCACACUGGGCCAUGCAUGUCC